rnacentral:piRNA from 1 species
UACAUCCCUGAGAUAAAAUGAUCUUGCCUAAC